ensembl:lncRNA
AUUUAACUGAAAAUAUUAUAUCUAGAUAUUUUUACCCGAGGAUAUCAUAUAAAAAAUUUUCAUACGAUUGUUUUGAAAAAGAAAAAUAUGAAAAUUUGAUAUUAGGUGGUAUGAGUUAUAUAUAUGAUAAUAAAAUAAUACUAAAUGAUUUUUAUAAGGGUAUACAAAUGUUGUAUAAAAAAAAAUAUUAUGAUUAUGAUAGAAUUUUUAGUGUAUGUAUAAAUAAUUAUAGGCAACAGAUAUUAAGAGGUUUUAAACACGGAUUUGAUUUUGCAGUUAAUUUUAAUAACUUUUUUGAUAAUAAGUUUGUACAAGUAAAUGAUAAUAAUAAUAAUAAUAAUAAUAAUAAUAAUGGUAAGAAGGUUCCUACAGACACAUACGAAUAUAACAACAUAGGUAAUACAGAAGGGUUAAAAAAAGAGAAAAGAAAAUUUAUCGUAGGCUGUUGUUUUUCGUUAGUAAUUCAUUCAGUAAAAAAUCCGUUGCUUUAUAAAACGGAUAUAUUAGAUGAAUAUUUAGGUUAUUGGGGGUCUCUAGGAGAUUGUUUAUCUGUGGAAAUAAAAGUAAAAUUUUAUGAAAAGGAGCAGAACAAGAACAGUGCUAUUAAUAGUGGUAACAAUAAUAGUAGUAGUAGUAGUAGUAUUAGUAUUGGUAAUAAUAUAAGAGGUAACAGUUUGUUGGUAGAUAAUAAAAUCACACAAGCACAAGAAACAUAUGAUUAUGUCGAAAAUAAUUUAAAUAAAGUUAUUUUGGGUGAUGUAGAAGUAGAAGUGUCAUUGUUUAUUGGAGGGGAGGGUAUAUCAUCAUUUGUACAUAACAAUAAUAGUUAUACUUUUAACUAUACAAAAGAAUCUAUUUUGAAUAAUAAAUUGUUCGAGGGGAAUAUAAAAGAAAUGAAUAAAAGAGGUAUGUACGAUGAUGUGAUAGAUGGUGUUCGAGAUAGAGAUUUGAAAGGAAAGAACACACGACAUAGAUCUAGUACACGUGCUUGUAAUAACCGGUAUGAUGGUCAGGAGAAUUACGAAAAUGAUGACGAAAAUGAUGAUGAAGACGAUGGUGAUGAAGAAGCAGCACGAUUUCCUGUAUUAAAAAUUCAAAGUAAUAAGCAAGUGUUUUCAAAUAUAAACAAAAACAGCUUAACAAAAUUUCGCGUAAGAAUAAAUUGUAUAAAACAUUCUUUCAGUGUUUAUAUUCAGAAGUUAGAUGAUUAUAAUUUAUAUGCAAACAAUCCUAAAAAUAAAAUAAAACCAAUUAUCCAUAUAAGAGCAUUAGACAUGACUCAAGCAUUUUCUUUAGACAUAGGGAAUGGAUAUAUAGGUUUUUAUACUUGUCCUAUAUUAUUUAAACAUAAAUUGCUAAAGAAAAAAAGUAAAUUAAAUGAAUGGUUCAAGCGUUUUUAUGACAACACUUUAAACACAAACUCCGUAGUUUUUAAAAAGAAUUUUUUUCAUGUAGAUGAUGAAACAAAUAGAAACAUGGCAAAAAAUGAAAUAGAAAAUAUAAACAAAAUGAUUGUACGUAAGAAUGGUAUGUUAGACAAUGGUAACGAUCAUGUCGGUUAUACUAACAGAAAUAUUGAGUAUAGAGAAAAAGGAGUAAAAGCUAGCAACUAUAAUAAUAACAAUAACACUAACAAAAUGAAGAACGUACUGUUAUUUAGCUCUUAUGAUUGCUCUGUAGAAAUAUAUAAAUGGUUCCAUCAAUCUUAUAAAUCGCCAAUAGAAAUUCCAGAAUUGGAUAUUGAUAAUGAAACGUUAAUAUUUUAUGAUAAAGAAAUAAAUAAAAAUAUAAAGGUUCAUAGUGGGUUAAAUUUAUGGAAUAAUAU